UAAUUUAUUUGGAAUAAAUUUUUAUUUAAUUAUGACAAACUCAUAUAUGAUUGUUCAGAUUUAUUUAUUAUUGUAUGAAUAAUAACUUUUUAAAAUUUUAAUUGGAAU
rfam:Populus trichocarpa isolate Nisqually-1 chromosome 2, whole genome shotgun sequence.